UACAGAGGGUGCGAGCGUUGUUCGGAAUUAUUGGGCGUAAAGCGCGUGUAGGCGGAUCGGUAAGUCGGGUGUGAAAUCCCUCAGCUCAACUGAGGAAGUGCGCCCGAAACUGCCAGUCUAGAGUGUCGGAGAGGGUGGCGGAAUUCCCGGUGUAGAGGUGAAAUUCGUAGAUAUCGGGAGGAACACCAGUGGCGAAGGCGGCCACCUGGACGACCACUGACGCUGAUACGCGAAAGCGUGGGGAGCAAACAGG
rnacentral:rRNA from 1 species